rnacentral:lncRNA from 1 species
UGUACAUACAGAUUCAAUGUCGUUCAGCAGAGCAUUAACCAUUUUUUUUAACAACUGAAUUUAUAUGCUGUUUUUAGGAGUUGUUUCCUGCAGUCAUGAUUGGAUUUCCACAUCAGCAUUGGAUUUGACAGCCAGUCAGGGAGACAACAUCACUCUGUACUGUGACUGCAAACUGUCAACUGGCGUGUACAUCGCGUGGUACAGGAACUGCUCUCAUGAGAACCAGCCAACUCUUGUUCUAAAAACAAAAAUUGAUGAUAACCCUGGUCAGCAGAAUGCAUAUUCUCUGAACCCUUUGCCCCGUUUUACAUUUCUAAGGAACUUUUCUUCUGAGUCUUAUGACCUGCGGAUCAUCAAUGUCACUGAUUCUGACGAGGGCCUCUACUACUGUGGAACUGAACAGGCCAAGGUGGAAGAAAACGAAUUCAUCAGUCAAAUAAAUAUUAACACAUAUGGCAACAUCACAAGACUCAAACUCAAUAUGAUUUCAGAGUCACAACAAAGAAUUCCCAAAGAUGAUUGUGACAACAAAGUGUGCUGGAUCCUGCUGUCCUCUCUGUGUCCAGCCUCUGCUGUGCUCUCCUCUCUUCUCUCUGUCUUCAUUUAUCACCUCUGCCACAAAAAAGGUAAUGAUCUUCAAACAGAUGAGAGCAGACCAUCCAAAAGAGAGCAGACAAGAAGAAGUCAGGAUGAAGACGUGUGUUACGCUGCGCUGGAAAUCCGUCAGGCAUCACAGAGACCAAAGAAGAAGAAGGAGAGCUCAGAUUUCAGCACCUACUCUGCCAUCAAUACUUGUAGCAUGUAAAGAGCCGAUGAUUCAACAAGCUGUCAGAUAGAUUUAUUACUGAUUAGUGUUGUUUAUGUAUUAUUUAGUAUUUUUUUAAAGCCUUGUCCAGUCUUUUAAGAUAAAUGGUCAGUUUUUUUUCCUUUUACAAACUGUUUCUGUUCUG